rnacentral:rRNA from 1 species
GGUCCGGGCGUUAUCCGGAUUUAUUGGGUGUAAAGGGCGUGCAGCCGGGAGCCCAAGUCAGAUGUGAAAUCCCGCGGCUUAACCGCGGAACUGCAUUUGAAACUGGGUUUCUUGAGUACCGGAGAGGUCAUCGGAAUUCCUUGUGUAGCGGUGAAAUGCGUAGAUAUAAGGAAGAACACCAGUGGCGAAGGCGGAUGACUGGACGGCAACUGACGGUGAGGCGCGAAAGCGUGGGGAGC